AGUGAACGCUGGCGGUAGGCCUAACACAUGCAAGUCGAACGGCAGCACAGUAAGAGCUUGCUCUUACGGGUGGCGAGUGGCGGACGGGUGAGGAAUACAUCGGAAUCUACUUUUUCGUGGGGGAUAACGUAGGGAAACCUACGCUAAUACCGCAUACGACCUACGGGUGUAAGCAGGUGAUCUUCGUAUCUUGCGCGAAUGAAUGAGCCGAUGUCGGAUUAGCUAGUUGGCGGGGUAAAGGCCCACCAAGGCGACGAUCCGUAGCUGGUCUGAGAGGAUGAUCAGCCACACUGGAACUGAGACACGGUCCAGACUCCUACGGGAGGCAGCAGUGGGGAAUAUUGGACAAUGGGCGCAAGCCUGAUCCAGCCAUACCACGUGGGGGAAGAAGGCCUUCGGGUUGUAAAGCCCUUUUGUUGGGAAAGAAAAGCAGCAGGUUAAUAAACCGCUGUUCUGACGGUACCCAAAGAAUAAGCCCCGGCUAACUUCGUG
rnacentral:rRNA from 1 species